CCUGUAGAUGACAGUGCCGGCCCAGUUUGGCCCAGUUUGGCACUGGUUGGACCCCAUAUCUCCAUGUGUUACCCCGUAGAUGACAGUGCCGGCCCAGUUUGGCCCUGGUGGGAGGUCAUGUCUCCAUGUGUCACCAUGUAGAUGACAGUGCCAGCCCAGUUUGGCACUGGUUGGACCCCAUAUCUCCAUGUGUUACCCCGUAGAUGACAGUGCCGGCCCAGUUUGGCCCUGGUGGGAGGCCAUGUCUCCAUGUGUCACCCCGUCGAUGACAGUGCUGGCCCAGUUUGGCCCUGGUGGGAGGCCAUGUCUCCAUGUGUCACCCCGUAGAUGACAGUGCCGGCCCAGUUUGGCCCAGUUUGGCACUGGUUGGACCCCAUAUCUCCAUGUGUUACCCCGUAGAUGACAGUGCUGGCCCAGUUUGGCCCUGGUGGGAGGCCAUGUCUCCAUGUGUCACCAUGUAGAUGACAGUGCCGGCCCAGUUUGGCACUGGUUGGACCCCAUAUCUCCAUGUGUUACCCCGUAGAUGACAGUGCUGGCCCAGUUUGGCCCUGGUGGGAGGCCAUGUCUCCAUGUGUCACCCUGUAGAUGACAGUGCCGGCCCAGUUUGGCCCAGUUUGGCACUGGUUGGACCCCAUAUCUCCAUGUGUUACCCCGUAGAUGACAGUGCUGGCCCAGUUUGGCCCUGUUUGGCCCUGGUGGGACCCCAUGUCUCCAUGUGUCACCCCGUGGAUGACAGUGCCGGCCCAGUUUGGCCCUGGUGGGAGGCCAUGUCUCCAUGUGUCACCCUGUAAAUGACAGUGCCGGCCCAGUUUGGCCCUGGUGGGACCCCAUAUCUCUAUGUGUUACUCCGUAGAUGACAGUGCUGGCCCAGUUUGGCCCUGGUGGGAGGCCAUGUCUCCAUGUGUCACCCCGUCGAUGGCAGUGCUGUCCCAGUUUGGCCCAGUUUCGCACUGGUGUACCUCCGUGGCACCAUAUAGGUGACAGUACCACCCCAGUUUAGCCCAGUACCACACUGGUGGGACCCCACAUCACCCUGUGUCACUUCCCAGGGGGCAGUGCCAUCCCAGUUUGGCACUGGUGGGACCCCACUUCCCCCCGUGUCACCCUAUAUGUUACAGGACCAUCCCAGUAUGGACCAGUCCCACACUGGUGGGACCCUCCCAUGUCACCCGCCAGGUGGCAGAGCCAUCCCAGUUUAGCCCAGUCACUUACUGGUUCUCCCCGUCCCAGUGACCCAACGCUUUAUUUCUUUUUACAGCUUUGCCCCUUUUCCGCCCCAUUUCAGCCCAUUAAAGCUCGUGCGGUGACAUCA